GACGAACGCUGGCGGCGUGCUUAACACAUGCAAGUCGAACGGUAAGGCCCUUCGGGGUACACGAGUGGCGAACGGGUGAGUAACACGUGGGUGAUCUGCCCUGCACUUCGGGAUAAGCCUGGGAAACUGGGUCUAAUACCGGAUAGGACCCUGGGAUGCAUGUCCUGGGGUGGAAAGCUUUUGCGGUGUGGGAUGGGCCCGCGGCCUAACAGCUUGUUGGGGGGGUGAUGGCCUACCAAGGCGACGACGGGUAGCCGGCCUGAGAGGGUGACCGGCCACACUGGGACUGAGAUGCGGCCCAGACUCCUACGGGAGGCAGCAGUGGGGAAUAUUGCACAAUGGGCGCAAGCCUGAUGCAGCGACGCCGCGUGAGGGAUGACGGCCUUCGGGUUGUAAACCUCUUUCAGCACCGACGAAGCGCAAGUGACGGUAGGUGCAGAAGAAGGACCGGCCAACUACGUGCCAGCCGCCGCAGUAA
rnacentral:rRNA from 1 species